AGCCCGACCGCAGGCAGCGAAAACAUUUCUUCGUUGAUCCCACGCUAUUAAAAGGAAUGAAACAUGCACGUUUGCCUGGCUGGGUCGUGUUAGAGUAGUUACAGUGACAGCUAAACAAUCUGCACUGCAAUCUCCGCUUCAGUCACAUUCAGGCGUCCUCUCCGCUCCUCCCCCUACCCCCAGAAAAACCCGAAUUACAAUAAUCUGUUACCCCCCAGCUCUGCCGGGGAAAUGCCCUGCCCGGACACAUUUCGCAGCAGUUUCCCUUCACCAUUCCCUCCCUCCCUCCUUCCCCCCCCCCGCCCGGAAAGCAGAAAAGCCAGCCGCUGCAUUUUGCCACCGCAACAAGGUCACACUUUGCGAUACCCGUGUAUUUCAUCCGCCUUUUAUUUGUUUUCGGAAUUCCCCGCACCCUCAGCACCUCCUCCACCAAACACUUCGCCUUCCUCCUCCCGCCGAACACCCGGCCGGCAACCCCAGCCACCCUCGGAUGCAGUUGACACACACCGAGGUACAAGCGGAGGGGAAGGGGAGGGGGCAGAGCCCGUCCUGCCGGAAUAUCUUGCCCGGGGGCGAGCUCGGAUGCUCCCGUAGAAAAAGGUUCUGGCUCACAGGAGCCCCUGCGACUUUGACAGCUGUCGCUUUGGCUGCACAGGAGACGAAUCGCCCUCCUUUUGGUGCCAG